CAUUUUGGCUCAAGGCCUGGUGGUGGCACGGCACGUCUCAUUU
rnacentral:ribozyme from 1 species